GUUCCGGUAGCUCAGGGGUAGAGCAAUCGCCUGCAGUCGUCCUUCGGACAAGUUAGCGAUAGGUCAGGCGUUCGAAUCGCCUCCGGAACU